UUAAAAACUUUAACACAUUAAAUUAUGUUAAAGGUUUUAUAUCUAUACUACAACUACUGUAGUAAGACUUAUAUUCUACUCGAGUUAUGCCAAUUAAUAUAUUGAUACCAAGAAUAAUUCAUUAAGUCUUAAUUGCUGGAAAAAUUCAGGUAAUUUAUUAUUAAAAUAAAUACCAUCUCAUAAAUGAGAAAGAACCAUCGCACUUUUGAAAUAUGCAGUCGCUCUAUUGCGAAGCUGCAUAUUUUAAUAACAGCUAAUUGCAGGCUUUUCAAUACAUACUCGUAGUAUAUAAUAACUGUAUGGUCGCAUAUUUGUUGCAUAUUCAUAUUUUUAUAAAAUGACAAGUUUUUAUAUAAAACAAAUUUAUAUAGAUCAUAAUAAUUUAUAUUUCGAUAAUUUUGAUUUUAUUGACUUUAAAUAAAAUUAUUGGUAAAAGAAUAGGAGUGAAUUGGUCACACCCUAUAUUGUAACAAAUUAUAUAUAUUAUACUAUAAUAUAAGUAACAAUCACAUCAUCAUAUAAUGUCAGGCACAGUAUAUAUAAAUACCUAUAGCCUUAUACAUACAUAUGUAUCUACGUACGUAUACGUAAUAAGGAAUAAAGUAACCAGUGAGUUUACUCAACCGCAAUGAGUGAAGUGUUACAGCUUGUAUCUGUUUGUUUGUACUGGUAUCAGUUCAUUUGUCAUAAAGGAACAUCAGCUACACAUAGCUAUCUAUCUAUUGAAGAAAAUAAUACAGUUUUAAAAUACUGACUUUUAACUCAGUGUUUAAAAUAAACCAACGAACCGUUCAUAAAAAUAUACACAAGUAGGUAUCCAAGCUCACGUACAGUCGUACCAUCGUCCACACUGUUAACUGACAGUAGGUACGUGAACAUUAUUACAAAAGGCAUAAUGUCCACCUAUGGAGAGUGAAGAGUGUUACUGUUUGUACAAUCACGCGCAAUUAUAUUUAUUAUCUCAUACGAGUACGAGUAAGCAGUCAAAUCUAUAGCUGGGUCUAUUUUUUUUUAAUUAUGGACUCUUCAAACGCAAAUAUUUUUGAUGACCUAUUUAUUUCCUCAUAGACAUUAUUGAUGGAGUUGCUGUAUUAAUUACGCGAAAGAUUAUAUCUACUCGUAACAGUAAUCAAAUAAAAUGUAGUACCUACAUAUCAAUCCUGUCGGCAAAAAUGUAUCGCGAUUGAUUUUACAUUGUGACUGAUUAGACAAUUAAUUAGUUCAAAUUAUGACACUUCCAUGAUAUUUAAAGAUAAAUUCAUCAUACCUACCUAAAAUAUUUAAGUUAAGUAUUAAAAAGUCCGAUUUAUUUUUACCUACACCUAUUGGGAAAUCGUCAAAGUCAGAAUGUCAGUCUUUACUAUAGUUUACUAAGGCCACAACUGUGUCAAAAGUGCUUAUUAUAGUUAUUAUAAAUACAUAUAUAAAAGUUACGUCGAUAUUUAGAAUUUAAAAUAUAUAGAUACUGCGCAAUGUUGCAACUUUGAAAGAAAUAAAAGGUAAUAACAUGCAGAUCUGAAAAAUAUUUUGUAUUAUUGUCGCGGUACAUUUCUCUUAUUUUUAAGAAAUACACUGGUCACACUUGGCGCACUCUCACCUAUUUUAAGUAACCUAACAAAUAAACUUGUACUAAAA